rnacentral:lncRNA from 1 species
UUCUUUCUUAUGCUUGCAGCAUUUUUUUCCAGACUCGAGAACUUCAGUCUGUGAGCUCGCAGAUUUGAUUUUUGCAAGCCGUAGAGAGAACUGUAAUUUCAUCAAAAAAGAGGUAAAGAUUAUCUCUAAUAAAUACAUAAAUACUCUUGGAUUUUUUAAAAAUUCUGCUGGGGCUUUCAUGAAUAUUUUCUAUUUUAGUACUACAUUUUGAAUCAAUUCAAACAGCUGUUUUUUAGUAACGAUGGUUUUAACUUUUAAAUACAAUUAUUUAUUAUUUUUUAAAGUGUUAAUAUACUUAGUUAUAUUAAUUAGGCAUAUUUCUGUAAAAGACACUUUUUUUAAGAAGUAUUUUUUUGAGGACUUUAUCCACACUUAACAUGAACCUGUUUCUACCAAACCCAUGUAGCAUUUCUAAGAGUGUAUUGUCAGAUAUAAUCCUUCCAUUUCAUGAAAGCAGUCUGGUUUGGAGAUACUACUAUACUAGUAUAUUAGCCACCUGCAUCAUCCUACUAGCUAGGAUUUUUCUCAACAACUUAUAAAUAAAGUUGACACAGGAGAUGCGUCUAUAAUCUGCCAGACUUGCUGUUGUGAUAUUUUUUGCGGACCAGGGUGAUCCAGGUGGGGUUCACAUCUUGCAGCAAGGAUUUGGUAAUCAAGCAACCAGCCUAAUUAUCCAAGAUCGCACACUACCUCACUUGAUGGUGGCACUCAAUUCACUCUCUGAAUUGUACUCACGAGAUUGAUUCAGAUUAGAUCUGAAUCAACAUAGACUCUUGAGUUAGAAAAGUAAACAAGAAUUAAGAACGCAAGAUUUUAUAAUGGUUCCACCCAAAAUGGUGUACGUCCACUAUCCUUCCCUUGGUAAUGGCUCUAUAUUAUCAAUUUCAUAAUUGUCCCAGUAAGGAUAUGAAUUAUUAGACAGCCUCCACAUAAUUAUCACUCCAUUUACUCAACAUACCUCAACAAUUUCCCACUUGGAGACUAACUACCAUCACUACAUCAACUCCUUUUCGUCAGUGUUCAAGGAGUCCAGCUAAGGCCAUGCAUAACCUUAGCUUCCCAAUGCUCAGAAUCUUAGUGAGCACAUCAACAACAUUGUCAUUCCCUGCUAUCUUCAUCAAAUUAAGGCCACCAUUCUCAAUCAGCUCCAAGAUAAAAUGUUAUUUCUGCCAAAUGUGCUUGGACCUUGAAUGAAACUUUGGAUUCUUGCCCAAAUAAAUAGUCCAUUACCACCAAGGUUUUUCAUGCGUUUAGACAUUCAUACGAUGGAGGUGGUCGCACGAAACAUGAUGAAGAAUACAAUUUGGAUUUUUGAGAAAAAUAAAAUAGUAGUUAUGAUUUAGUAGUUAGUCUUAAAUUCUUAAUACAAAAGAGUGAAAAUACAAUUUGGAAUAGUUAAUUGAACGUCGUAAUCAUGAUCAUCUUCAGUUCUUUUACCUUUUCUAUAUGCUCUAGUAGAUGGGGCAGUUGUUUCAUUGACGCCCAUUGCAUCCUUCUUCACCAUAAUCCCACUCAUUGGAGGCUCCCUCCUUGCCAAUCAACAAUUCAAUAUUCUAGUUGAUUUUUUCCAUUGCUAUAGGUUUUAGGUUCCAAGUUCAUUGACGCCCAUUGCAUUCUAGCUUGCGUUUUUAUUGAUGUUCAUUUAACCCCAAGUUAGUUCUACCCUAGAAAACUUCUAAAAAUAGUAUCUAGGGUUUUACCCUAGUAUUUAGGUAUUUACCUUCAAAAGCAAGGAGAGGAGAAUUGAAGACUUGAGAAGGCUGGAGAUAUUGGUCAGUAGUGGGUGAAGCUGGUCGACCGGAGUUGGCACUUGGAUGAUGUUCGCCGUAGAAGCUCGUUGGUGAUGCCUGGAAGGAGGACUGCUGGAAAAUCGAGAAUGGGAUUUUGUAACCCUAUUCCCGAUUUUUAAAAUGUAUUUAUAUUUUAUUUCAAUAUUUUAAUUGAGUAAAUGGGUUAUUAAAUGGAUUCAACUGGAUCCACCUAACCUGGCCAGCUCUUGAAGGCUCUCAUCGCCUGAUAGUAUUUUUCAAUAUGUGUGAUUCGAACUCGAGACCUUUUACUUAAUAUUUAAAUGAAUUAUCCAUUUAACCAUAACUUCUUUUUGAAACUAUACAAUAUAAUAUUAUCAUCGAGCCUAACGAGCUUACUAAGCCGAACUCGACUUCAUCAGUCCAAGUUCGGGCUUGGGCUCGGCUUGUUAAGCCAAACGAACUCGGGCUUAAACGAACCGAGUUUAACUUGACACCCUAUGAAUAACCUUGCAAGAAUGACAGGGAGCUGAUCGCCCAUUUUGAUCUUUUAGUCUGAGCCUUAGUGAAGAGAGAAGUUGUGAAUAAUUAUUCAUUAAAUGGAUUAAAUUGAAAAUCAGAUAGUUCAAAGGGUACUAUAUGACCAAAUGUUAAAGAUAAUACUAUAUCACCAUAUAUUAUUGGCAUUACAUCUUUAGUAUGAUAUGGUUCAUUUCUACAUUUUUAAACUAUAAUAUCAUUUAAUGUUUAAAUAUUAAUAUUCAUUCAAUGCUUUUUAUUCUGUAGGAUAAUGAUGGAUGGAAGAGUAAAGAUGCAUCAUGGAAUUACAGCAGCCAAACAGAGAAAUUACCGAAACGUGAAUUUUGUACAACUGACGUAUGGGAAUCAAAAUCAUCAACUAGCUUUCCAUACAACUCUAAUGAAAUGGAAAGAUGGAAAAAACCUAAAUACACGUCCAACACACCUAGUAUCUACCCUAGUAAUCGCUGGGAAGCUAAGUCUCUCUUUACUUCUAAUAGUAAUAAUAGUUGUUGCUGCCCUUCAAAACCACCAUAUUUUUUCUUUGGUAAUGUCGUUGACAUAUCCUAUGAAACAUGGAAGAAAUUAUCUCGUUUUCUCUAUGAAAAAGAGCCUGAGCUUGUGAACUCACAAUUUUUUUCUGCCUUUAUUAGAAAAGAAGGGUAUCUUCAUAAUGUUCCUACUGAGAAUCGUUCGCACGUUAUUCCUGGUGGACCACCAAUGACAAUUGAAGAUGCAUUGCCACACACAAAAAGAUGGUGGCCAUCAUGGGAUACAAGGAAACAGUUAAGUUAUCUGAUGUCUAAUACUGCUGGCCUUAAUAGUCUUUGUGAGCGACUAGGAAGAAUAAUGGCUAGUUCCGGAGGGAUACUAUCGAAGGAAGAGCAAACAGAUAUUCUUCAUCAAUGUAAAACAAUGAAUCUUCUGUGGAUAGGUGAGAACAAAUUGAAGCCAGUUGAUCCAAACCAAGUUGAACAUAUUUUGGGCUAUCCUCCCACCCAUACUGAUGACAUAAGCGGUGUAGUCGGGGAUGCAGAUAGGAUGAAACUGCUUAAGCACGCAUUCCAAAUCGACACAGUUGGAUAUCAUCUUUCUUCCUUAAAAUCUUUAUACCCUGAUGGUAUCAGGGUCAUAUCUAUUUUUGGUGUAAUUGGUGGUGCUGAACUUGCCCUAUCAAGACUUGGUAUUCGUCUCCGAUGUGUGAUUUCAAUUGAAACUUCGAAACCCAACUGGAAAAUACUGAAGAAAUGGUGGCAUAACAGUGAACAGACUGGACAUCUUAGGCCUAUCGAAGAUGUUCAAAAGUUUUCUAUUCAGAUGAUCGAAAAUGUGGUUAAUGAAUUUGGAGGGAUAGAUCUUGUUAUUGCUGGAAGCCCUUUGGAUGAUUUAUCGAACAUUGAUAUUUCUAUGUUCCUUGAAUUUGUUCGAGUUUUUCAAAGAGUGAAAUGUGUAAUGGAUAGAAGAAACAGGUGACGAUGUCUUCUUUCCAUCCACUACAGAAUAAUGCUUAAGGCUUUAAAGCAGGUUUGCAAAUAAUGAUACAUCAAAUUUAUUUUCCUCUAACAAUGAAUAUGUUCACAGGUAUGUAUCAUUGUUAUUAUUAGUAACUCUUAACAUGUAUUUUUUAGAUAAGACACUUUGGAUGACACAUCAUUGUUCUUAGUUACAGUAAACAAACCAGGGUACAUAUAAAGGAUUUGGGCAAACUCAAAUACUUUCUAGGAAUUGAGGUAUCUCAAUCAAACCAGGGUAUUUUCCUAUCACAAAGGAAAUAUGCCCUUGAUAUCCUACAUGACUUUGGACAAUUGGGAUCUUCCCCAUCUAAAAUUCCAAUGUCCCACAACUACAAAAAUCCUGAAAAGGAUGCCCCACUAAAAGAUCCAUCAAUUUACAAGAAGCUAAUUGGGAAAUUGCUAUAUCUGACAAUCACAAGAUCUGAUAUAGCAUUCUCAGUUAGUCAUCAUAGUCAAUUCUUGGCAGAACCUAAACAAUCACAUUUUAACUCAGCCAUAAAAAUACUAAAAUAUAUCAAAGGUGCACCAGGAAAAGGUAUCUUAUACAAGAGAGAUGCACCUCUACAACUAGAGGCUUACUGUGAUGCAGAUUGGGCAGAUUGCCCCAACACCAGAAGGUCUAUAACAGGUUACACAAUCUUAUUAGGUGGAUCAGCUAUAGCUUGGAAAUCAAAAAACCAAACAACUAUCAGUAGAUCAUCUGCUGAAAGUGAAUACAGGGCUAUGACAUCAACUGUAUGUGAAAUUAUGUGGUUGCAUUAUUUUUUGAAUGAUCUGCAGGUAAAACCAUCAAGACAAACAAUGCUACACUGUGAUAAUAUGGCAGCAAUUCACAUUGCAACAAAUCCAGUCUUUCAUGAGCGCACAAAACAUAUAGAGAUUGAUUGUCAUCUAAUCCGGGAUCACUUACAAGCUGGACUAUUUAAACUGCAGCAUGCAUGUUUCAACAAUAUCUCAAAUUGCAGACAUACUAACGAAGCCAGCAAGUUUUGAAGCACUACGCAAUUUACUACCCAAGCUGGGACUCUAUGACAUACACUCUCCAGCUUGAGGGGGGUAUUAAGACUAAUGAAGUUUAAAGUAUUUAGAUUAGAGUUAUUUAGACUAAUCGGUCAGACCCAACUGAUGUUGGCACAUUAAGUUAAAUUAGGUCUUAGUAUAAAUAGAUGUUUGUAAUAUAUUUUAUUCACUUUUAAAACAUCAAAAAACAAAACCCUAAGGGUUUCCAAACGUCUCGCGCUCGUUCUCCCGGCGAUCCCUCGAUCCAAAACCCUAACCGUGUUCGCACACACUCCCUCCGGUCUCUCAUCUUCUUUAAUGAUAGUACCAAAAUUCUAAUAGAUUUGUACUGAUACUUUAUUAUCAACACUCAAAAAACCUAAAAAAUGAUAAACGAUGGGAGUUGAGAUAAGGUAAAGAUGAGGUUGAAAAAGAGAUUCGAGAGGAAGAAGUACGUACCAUCAUUGAUUCUUGCUCUCAACAACUCUUCUUCGACCCGAAUCAAGUCAAGCUCUUAUCCAUUUUAGGUCUCCCUCUAUCCUACGAUGUGAUCAAUAAAUGGUAUAAUUUGUUGUAAGACGACGUACGUCUUUCUGAUUUUCUCAAUCCUUUCCUUACUCUAAUAAUAUUCAGUGAUGUAUCGGUAACUAUGUCCAUCUCUGAUGAAAAUUUGGUCAAUGUGUGCAGGUUAAACAGUCACAUUCACAAGUUGAUUCCACUUCGAUCUACUACAUGACAAUAAUAUAACAUUAUUAGAAUUCAG